rnacentral:rRNA from 1 species
CGGCGGCAGCCUACACAUGCAAGUCGGACGGUAGCACAGAGAGCUUGCUCUUGGGUGACGAGUGGCGGACGGGUGAGUAAUGUCUGGGGAUCUGCCCGAUAGAGGGGGAUAACCACUGGAAACGGUGGCUAAUACCGCAUAACGUCGCAAGACCAAAGAGGGGGACCUUCGGGCCUCUCACUAUCGGAUGAACCCAGAUGGGAUUAGCUAGUAGGCGGGGUAAUGGCCCACCUAGGCGACGAUCCCUAGCUGGUCUGAGAGGAUGACCAGCCACACUGGAACUGAGACACGGUCCAGACUCCUACGGGAGGCAGCAGUGGGGAAUAUUGCACAAUGGGCGCAAGCCUGAUGCAGCCAUGCCGCGUGUAUGAAGAAGGCCUUCGGGUUGUAAAGUACUUUCAGCGGGGAGGAAGGCGAUGCGGUUAAUAACCGCGUCGAUUGACGUUACCCGCAGAAGAAGCACCGGCUAACUCCGUGCCAGCAGCCGCGGUAAU